GAUGAACGCUGGCGGCGUGCCUAAUACAUGCAAGUCGAGCGAACAGACGAGGAGCUUGCUCCUCUGACGUUAGCGGCGGACGGGUGAGUAACACGUGGAUAACCUACCUAUAAGACUGGGAUAACUUCGGGAAACCGGAGCUAAUACCGGAUAACAUGUUGAACCGCAUGGUUCAACAGUGAAAGACGGUCUUGCUGUCACUUAUAGAUGGAUCCGCGCCGCAUUAGCUAGUUGGUAAGGUAACGGCUUACCAAGGCAACGAUGCGUAGCCGACCUGAGAGGGUGAUCGGCCACACUGGAACUGAGACACGGUCCAGACUCCUACGGGAGGCAGCAGUAGGGAAUCUUCCGCAAUGGGCGAAAGCCUGACGGAGCAACGCCGCGUGAGUGAAGAAGGUCUUCGGAUCGUAAAACUCUGUUAUUAGGGAAGAACAAAUGUGUAAGUAACUAUGCACGUCUUGACGGUACCUAAUCAGAAAGCCAUGGCUAACUACGUG
rnacentral:rRNA from 1 species